rnacentral:rRNA from 1 species
CCUACGGGUGGCAGCAGUAAGGGAUAUUGGUCAAUGGGCGAAACCCUGAACCAGCAAAGCCGCGUGAGGGAAGACGGUUUUCGGAUUGUAAACCUCUGUCCUCUGUGAAGAUGAUGACGGUAGCAGAGGAGGCAGCUCCGGCUAACUACGUGCCAGCAGCCGCGGUACUACGUAGGGGGCGAGCGUUGUCCGGAUUGACUGGGUGUAAAGGGUGUGUAGGCGGCUUGGCAAGUCAGUAGUGAAAUCCAUGGGCUUAACCCAUGAACUGCUAUUGAAACUGUGGAGCUUGAGUGAAGGAGAGGUAGGCGGAAUUCCUGGUGUAGCGGUGAAAUGCGUAGAGAUCGGGAGGAACACCAGUGGCGAAGGCGGCCUACUGG